AACGCACAUUGCGCCCUUUGGUAUUCCGAAGGGCAUGCCUGUUCGAGCGUCAUUAUCACCCCUCAAGCCCCCGGCUUGGUGUUGGACGGUUUGGCGGAGGCCCCCCGGGGCCCUCGCCCCUCCCAAAGACAAUGACGGCGGCCUCGUUGGACCCCCGGUACACUGAGUUCUUCACGGGACACGUACUGGAGUAAGGGUGCGCGGGGCACGGUCUGCCUCCCCUCAGGGAGAAUCUUGAACUACAAGGUUGACCUCGGAUCAGGUAGGGAUACCCGCUGAACUUAA
rnacentral:misc_RNA from 1 species